CGGAACUAUAAAUAGAUGUUUCAGAGCAACUCCUUGCUGCCAGUUAUCCGUCUACACAUCAACAUUAACAUAAUUACCACGGCGAAUCUCUAAUCUCGGCAGCAAGGCGUGCAGGUUUUAGCAGUUCACUGGGCUCUGUAACUGUGUAAUUUGGGUCUUCAGUCAACUGACAGAUCUGCAGGCGAGUCGCAGCGGAAAGUUGUGAACUUCCCCUGGUUCCCAGCCCUGAUUGCGCGGUGGCAAGUGAGAAGGGAACAAUGAAUAAUAUCUGUCACGUAUCCCAGAGGUAGAGAUGUAUCAUAGCCUAACUCGUGGCUGUCAGGGUAAUGCAGCACUCAUCUUCCAUCUCCUUUGUUUUGUUUGCAGCCGUCCCUGAAGGACGGGGCUGCAAUUGGGCUGGCAGCAGCAGGGUUCCUCUGCUGUCUUCUCCGGCAGCGUCUUUGGAGGGAGGUCUGGGGCUGGGGCUUUGCAGGGGCACGCACAUGCACAGCACAUCUCUCACCUCUUCCCCUCUAGGGCUGUGCAUUUGCAGCUUUACGAGGCUUUUGGAAGCCCCAUGCAGGUGGUGUUGUCACCAUGCUUUGCUGGGAUCCGGGAUUUUGGUGCUGGAGAUGCAUCUCCCCAUCAUCCCCAGGGCAGGGGACGCAUCUGCUCCCUCUGUCCCAACCCUUGCUCUCCGGGCAGUGCAGGGAAGGGCGGCCCCAGGCUCCCAGCCGUGCACUGUACGGGGCUGGCUGGAUGGUUUCGGUGGUUGGGUGACUCAUGACCUCAUCACAUUGCGGCAACGCUGCUCGAGCGCUCACACUGCAAAUUAUGGGCUGGAUCUCGCCGCCCCGGUGGUGGCUGGCUGCCUGGCGACUUCAGACAGAGCAAGCCUGUGUGGCUGCGCCGGCAUCUCUGACAGCAUAAUCUCCUGCCUGGUGUCAUCAUUAUGGAAACAAGCUGUAAAUCUUCCCUUGAUGUUAUGUAGAUCCGGGAUCGCUUGCCUCACGGGAACAGCCAGUGUUAAGAAAUAGGGUGUUGAACAUAAAGAUUACCAUAUUGCAAGCACUAAUUUUGGGAAGGAGCUGCCUUAGUGCUGGGAGCUGCUGGUGAUGCUGGGGCUCUGCAUGGGGCCGGCUCCCAGCUCUGGGCUCUUCCCACACCAAAUCCUCUUUUUCCCUUCUCAUCCCCCUGGCAAAGCCAUGGAGCAGCAGGAGGGGAGAAUAGCGCAGAGCCAGGGAGGCUGCCGGACAGCACAAGUUGCUGUUUGGAUAUUUUCAUCCCCGUUUUGCUGACCCACGGACACCUUUGCUCCCAGCCCUGUCAUUUUCACACCUGCUCCCAUUUAAUUCUGCACAUCCCAGCCGGCUCUGCGGGUCGCUGCUCUUCGGGCUCGGCUGCUCCCAGUGCC
rnacentral:lncRNA from 1 species